rnacentral:rRNA from 1 species
UCCUACGGGGGGCAGCAGUGGGGAAUAUUGCACAAUGGGGGAAACCCUGAUGCAGCGACGCCGCGUGAGUGAAGAAGUAUUUCGGUAUGUAAAGCUCUGUCAGCAGGGAAGAAAAUGACGGUACCUGACCAAGAAGCCCCGGCUAACUACGUGCCAGCAGCCGCGGUAAUACGUAGGGAGCAAGCGUUAUCCGGAAUUAUUGGGUGUAAAGGGUGCGUAGACGGGAAUACAAGUUGGUUGUGAAAUCCCUCGGCUUAACUGAGGAACUGCAACCAAAACUAUAUUUCUUGAGUGCAGGAGAGGAA